rnacentral:rRNA from 1 species
GACAGAGGGUGCAAACGUUGUUCGGAAUUACUGGGCGUAAAGCGAGUGUAGGCGGUUCGGUAAGUCGGAUGUGAAAGCCCCGGGCUCAACCCGGGAAGUGCACUCGAUACUGCCGAGCUAGAGUAUCGGAGAGGUUGGUGGAAUUCUCGGUGUAGAGGUGAAAUUCGUAGAUAUCGAGAGGAACACCGGUGGCGAAGGCGGCCAACUGGACGAAGACUGACGCUGAGACACGAAAGCGUGGGGAGCAAACAGG